rnacentral:rRNA from 1 species
AUAGUGGCGACGGGUGAGUAACACGUGGGCAAUCUGCCCUGCACUCUGGGACAAGCCCUGGAAACGGGGUCUAAUACCGGAUAUUGACCUUCACGGGCAUCUGUGAGGUUCGAAAGCUCCGGCGGUGCAGGAUGAGCCCGCGGCCUAUCAGCUUGUUGGUGAGGUAAUGGCUCACCAAGGCGACGACGGGUAGCCGGCCUGAGAGGGCGACCGGCCACACUGGGACUGAGACACGGCCCAGACUCCUACGGGAGGCAGCAGUGGGGAAUAUUGCACAAUGGGCGAAAGCCUGAUGCAGCGACGCCGCGUGAGGGAUGACGGCCUUCGGGUUGUAAACCUCUUUCAGCAGGGAAGAAGCGAAAGUGACGGUACCUGCAGAAGAAGCGCCGGCUAACUACGUGCCAGCAGCCGCGGUAAUACGUAGGGCGCAAGCGUUGUCCGGAAUUAUUGGGCGUAAAGAGCUCGUAGGCGGCUUGUCACGUCGGUUGUGAAAGCCCGGGGCUUAACCCCGGGUCUGCAGUCGAUACGGGCAGGCUAGAGUUCGGUAGGGGAGAUCGGAAUUCCUGGUGUAGCGGUGAAAUGCGCAGAUAUCAGGAGGAACACCGGUGGCGAAGGCGGAUCUCUGGGCCGAUACUGACGCUGAGGAGCGAAAGCGUGGGGAGCGAACAGGAUUAGAUACCCUGGUAGUCCACGCCGUAAACGGUGGGCACUAGGUGUGGGCAACAUUCCACGUUGUCCGUGCCGCAGCUAACGCAUUAAGUGCCCCGCCUGGGGAGUACGGCCGCAGGCUAAACUCAAAGGAAUUGACGGGGGCCCGCACAGCGCGAGCAUGUGGCUAUUCGACGCACGCGAGACCUUACCAGGCUUG